rnacentral:rRNA from 1 species
AUUGAACGCUGGCGGCAUGCCUAACACAUGCAAGUCGAGCGAGCGGCGGACGGGUGAGUAAUGUCUGGGAAACUGCCUGAUGGAGGGGGAUAACUACUGGAAACGGUAGCUAAUACCGCAUACCAUCAGAUGUGCCCAGAUGGGAUUAGCUGGUAGGUUGGGUAACGGCUCACCUAGGCGACGAUCCCUAGCUGGUCUGAGAGGAUGACCAGCAAAACUGGAACGGAGACACGGUCGAGACUCCUACGGGAGGAAGCGGUGGGGAAUAUUGCACAGUGGGCGCAAGCCUGAUGCGGCCAUGCCGCGUGUGUGAAGAAGGCCUUCGGGUUGUAAAGCACUUUCAGCGGGGAGGCGUUACCCGCAGAAGAAGCACCGGCUAACUCCGUGCCAGCAGCCGCGGUAAUAC